CCCAAACUUUGGGCCUACCUUCUCUCCUGGCUAGCUCACCAGAAUAUGUUACCAGUAGAGGGUCUUGACUGCAAGUUGUUUAGGUUCUUGGCAUUUUGAACAAAGACUUGGAAGAAACACCCAGCAAAGCAAUGAAAGAAUGCAGCAUCAAAAGAAUGAAAACAGGAAUUUAUUGAAAAUGAAAGUACACUCCACAGUGUGGGAACAGGCCCAAGCAGUGGCCCAGAUACAGAAUCUUCUUGGGUCCAAAUGACUACUAGAGGUUUCCCGUUGGCUGCUUGGUGCUGACCUAAUGUAAAUGAAAUGGUGGCCUGCAGUCAGUCAACCAAUCAGAGGCUGAAGUAAAGUUACAAAAGUCACACUCCUACGCAAAUAUCUGAUUGGUUGCAAAAAGCAACCAAUCAGAGGUACUUUUAAUUUCCCAUCUGCCAGGCAGAAAAGGUAGAGGUUUGCAAAGGGAGUAGUCUCUGGUCCUUUUGUUACUUAGGUGUGGAAAGUUAGGGUUUUCCCAUCAAUUUAGCUUAAGGACGUUAGCGUGAAACAGCCUUAGGUUUCCUGCCUCCAGACCAUGUUCUCCUGCCUCAGGAUCACAGGCUCACGCCACCAUGCCUGGCUAAUUUUUGUAUUUUUUGUAGAGAUGAGG
rnacentral:lncRNA from 1 species